GAAUGGUGGCUGGCUGGCUGGCUGAGCAGAAGACAAGUGGAGUUUAAAUAGUGGUGGCUUGUGCCCAUUGGGACUGCUGGGGCAAAAGGGAGGGAUCCCAGCAAUAGGUGGAGCCAGAGUCAAUGAGAGGAGGAGUCAGCCAACUCUAGUUUUGCAUCCAACAUCGUCCUCCCUGCUGAAUUCUGCAAGGGUGACACUGAGACUAAGGGAAAGGAAGCUGAGUGCAAGGAGCACCGCCAUGAUUGGUGUAAGUAGGAAGGAAGGAAGAGGUGAGGGCAGGCUGCAAUUGGUGUGGCAGUGCCCCAUUUGCCUUUAUAGAGCAGCCUCCCCUGGGCAUGGAAAGAUCCAUAAAUUUUGGUUGUCUGUGCUGCUCAUUUUUCUUAAAAUCUUAAAUUCAAUUUUCCCCUCAUUUUGCAGCCGUUCACGAAUUUUAAAAAAGAAAAUCCUGGUGCAAAUUCAUUGGCAUUUCUGUGCAAAUUUCUCCUAAUAAACACAUUUCAUAUGCAGGUGUGAUUAAUGUACACAGUUUGGCAAACAACGUCCCCUAAGGGAAUGCAUUUUGCAAGUCAAUUUCACCAAUGUAUUCAUUUUUAUGCAAACUUUCCCCUAAUGUACACAUUUUUGUGCGGUUGGAGAACUGCAUUGCAAAAUCCCAGAUAAGUGUGAAUAUUGUUUCAGAAAGUGCUGAUUUGAUAGACUUGGCUUUAAAUGCAUCCGGAAAUGAAUUUCUCCUUCCUAGCAUCUGCUAAGCUUAAGCCAUGGCAUAAGCAAGCUUUACAUUACUUCUUAAUUUGGGGGAUGGUUAGUCGGUUUUAUUCAUUGGAGAUGCCCUUAUAGGGAAGGGCCAUAGGUCAGUGGUAGAGCAUCUUCAAGGGCCCAGGUUCAAUAAUGGCAUCUCCAGGUAGGGAUGAAAUCCAGGCAGCUGCUGCCUGUCAGUGCAGACUGUACUUAGCUAUCUGGACCAAUGGAGUGACACAGUACAAGGCAGCUUCCUUUGGUAUUCAUUAGGUAUUUCUACCAUGAAAAUGUUUCAGAAGCCCUGUUCUAGCUACUGGCUAAUUGUCGCAUUUCACAUGCCCCUGUGUGUGUGUGGCCAUGGUAGGGUAGGGUGGGGCUGGGACCAAUCAGAAGAGUUGCAUGAUGCCUCAGUUAUUCCAUUCUUGCAGCAGAGAGAGGCUCCCUUGCUUUGAUUCCGUUUCUCCACAAAUUCUCCACCUUCCUUUCUUUUUCUCGCUCCGAAGUACUUGCACCAAGAACAAAGAAGCAGAGGCUCCCAUUAGCUGGCUUUGGGUUUUUUCGUCCCCUCCCCACCUGCUUCUGGCUCCUCUUCCCCCCUCCCCUGUUUCUUUGACUCUGCUAAAUGCAUAAAAGGAAAAAGAAAAAGAAACCCGUAUAAAAGACAUUGUCCCGGGCUCAAAUGACUGCGGCCUUUUUGUCUGAUCGCGUAUCAAAGUUCCCCUCAACAUGAUACUCCUGCGUUUGAGGAACACUGAAUCCAUUUUAUGCUAAGUGUUUUCUUUUUAUUGGCCUCCUAUUGUUGUGGCUCCCCCCGUACCCCACCCUCCACCCCCUCUUUGCUUCUCAUAAAUUAGUGAGAUAGAUGGAGCAACUGGAGAACGAUGGAGCCAUGUUCUCCACCCCCAUUAGGCCUGCACAGCCAGGCCUUUAAACAAUCAUCUGCCAUCAAAGUCCUCCCUAAUGACGCUAGCAAAAAAAAAAAGUUAAUCACAGGUGGCUGUGGGCAUGAAAAGUGGAGCUUCGUGAGUGAUCCUCGGGAUAAUGGGGGUAUUCAAGGCAUUUCUAGAAGGGUCCCUUUGUGCUGCUGGUCAUGUGCCUGCUGAGCUGAAAGGACUAUUUCCCCUCAAUUUGUCUAAAAGCAGCUGGCUUGUAUCACAGCUGCAGGGGGUUGGCGAUUCAGGUUGCUUUAACCCUUCCCGUCCUGAUGAGGUUUCUCGAUCUCCCAAGGUUCGCCGUGAGCUUGCAGUCUCAGAAUGUGAUCAUUGCCACUGUGAGCCAGACUGUGGGGCUACCGCUCUGGCACACUGUGCCCCACAGGUGGAUUUUAUAAGCUGGUCUAGGGUGCCCUGCCCUCCAGCUUCAUCAGUGCUCUGAUUCCCCCAGCAAGCCAGGCAAAUGGGGCUCUGUCUAGGCUGCAAUUGGUGGUUAAAGCCCCAAAUGGCUUGGGAUCCAAAUAGGUGCAAGAACGCCUUCUUCCAUCUUGCCCUGCCUGUUCUCUUUUGUGUAGGAAGUGUUGGGAUGCAACUCGGCUUGUAUUGAAGACUGGUGGGUCUGCAUGGGGAGAAAGUGGAGAUGGAGCAGAACCUCCAAGCUUCCUAGACUGUCCUUUAACUUCUGCUGACCUUCCCUCAGCUGCUAGACUGAUGCUCUCAGAAUUGCUUUCCACAUUUCCUUCUUCUCCUCUUUCAUCCUCACGUUGGGAGAUGUGACAUAUCUCUCCUGCUGAGAACAAAGAGCAAGCAUGGGUCUUUGUAUCUCCACUCUAGUUAGAUAGAACUAGGCUCUUUUGUAUCAAGUCUGCAUUUCCACACACACACACACACACAGUCAUACCUCGGGUUACAGCCGCUUCAGGUUGCGUUUUUUCGGGUUGCGGACCACCGAAACUCAGAAGUACCGGAAUGGUUUACUUCCAGGUUCUGGCAGUUGCGCAUGCACAGAAGCACUAAAUUGCAACCCAUGGGUGCGCAGACGCAGGUUACGAACACUGCAGGUUGCGAAUGUGCAUCCCGCACGGAUCACGUUUGCAACCUGAGCGUCCACUGUGUGACCCACAAAACAAUUUCAAAACAAGAUACAGUUAAGACAACCAAACAACAGGCGAAAGAGACUGAGGUAGACAUUUUGUUAUGUCUGCAGCAUGAUGGUCUUUGUUUCUUGCGACCUCCGAAAGAAACUUUGCCACAGUCAGUGUAAUAUCAUUUGACCUAUCCUCCAAAAGGUAUUUAAUAUGGGAGGCUUCAGAUUUUCCUGGCAAAUUUGCUAGUAAGGGUUUGAUCAGUUGAUCCCUUACUUGCUCAUACUGCCCACAAUGCAGUAGGAUAUGCUUCAUACAAUCGACGUCCUGAGAACAUAAACAAAGCCUAUUCUGAUAGAGGAUGCCUCUAGGUCUACCAUUUAGAACGUUUGAUGGAGCAUUUCCUUUAAUAAACUUAGCUUUCUUAUUUUCUUAAACUCAAGAGCCCCAGUGUGAUUAUAACCAAGGGCAAAGUCUGUUACUCCACCAGAGAUUUAGAACUCAGUUCAGCUUCCAAGCUGCAUGUUCAUCCUACACACAUAUUCCAAGAUUAAGAUCAACAAAGGAGACCCACCUGGGGGUGUUCCCUCUGCAAUACUAGGUACCUGGUGGGAGACUCCGGGGAAAGGCUUUUUAGUGACAGCUGCUCAUAUGUGGUACUCCAUCCCUUCACAGGUGUGUCCAGCUCCAUCCCUCUGUAGUUUUAGGUGGUUGAUUGAGGCACUUUACUUAUUCAUUUAUUUUUGUUCCUCCUGCAGUUAAUAAUUGCCAUUCAGUAAUUUGCUGUUAUGUGUUUUUAAAAGCUCAAGUAAUUUUUAUCUCCUGUGUUGUAAACUGUCCUGUGGCUUAUGCAAAGGGAAAUAUUUAAAUCAUCGAAAUAAAAUGAAUAAUAGUAGGGAUCAAGCCAUUUAAAGCUCUUACAUCCAAGUUUGUACCUUCGUUUAUUCAACAGCUCUGCAGAUGCUUUUCCGGGGGUGCCUUGGGACUUUUUGAGGCAGGGACCCCAAAGGGGGUUUCAUUCAAACCAUGCAUUUAAAGCAGUAUCAUACCAUUUUAAACAGCCAUGACCUUCCCCAAAUAAUCCUGGGAGCUGGAGUUUGCCAAGGGAGCUGAGAGCUAUUAGGAGACCCCUAUACCUCUCAGAGAGCUACAAUUCCCAGAGUUCCCUGGGAAGAGGAACUGUUGGUUAAACAGUAUUAUUGCAGGGGAAUGCAGGUUUCCAUGGGGGAAGCAAUGGCUGUCUAAAGUGGUAUCACAGUGCCUUAAAUGUAUGGUGAGAACAUUGCAAGGGUCAUUUCAAACAAUUACAGCCUGUGAAAGGAAAAGAAAGCCACAAGAGUCAUGGCAGAUGGAUCGGCUCUGACCAAAUAAUGAAAACAGACCUACCUUAGGCUAGCCAGCUUUGAAAGAGUUAAUCUCAGCAGUCAGUCAGGAGCUGGACCUCUGCUUUUUUCUUCUUCCUUCCCUCAGGUCUCUAUUCAUCUUCCAGGAACUGAAUUUUUCAUGCAGUAAUUAAAAUUUGUAGGUCAAGCCUCCCAUGGCACCGUUUUCUGCUAAUAUGGGAGAGCAAUGGUUGGAUUCGCUUACGUGUCUCUUUGCUGUGCUGAGAUUUAAAGGAUGAAGGGUGACAUUUCCCCCCCAUUUUGUAAAUUAAUGCCAUUGAUCCGCCUAACAAGAACAAAGUUAGGCUUCAAAAUACCAAAUGAUAAAGAGAUUUAGACCUGAAAUGGCUUUCCAAAAGCACCUUUAUUGUAAGACCUGACGCAGAAUAUUGAACUUUCAAUUAGAAUUUCUAAUAGGCUAUUGACUUAAAUGGAUAAAAUGUUGCAAGCCAUCGCUUUUGAGUUGGCAAAAAAUUGUGUCUUGCAUUCAAGGGAUAUUGUUUUAUGAAGGAAAUAGGGCUCUUCAGGUUGAAGAACAAUAAGUGGAGACCGUGACAAUAUUAUCUGUUGCCCCCUCUCUACCACGUAUCCCCCUACUUCUUCAUCCUCCCUAAGAAAUUGAAGUCCAGCACUCUUCUGAUGUCACAUACAACUUUAUGAUUUGCAAUAUUUCAGCCUCCUUGGAAAUUCUUGGCGUUGGGCUCUUCUGGAAUCUGCUCCAUGUGCUGAAGAGCUCAACUGCAGUUGAAAGUCUCCUCAGUAAAGAAUCUUCCAGCCCACCUAGGCUGACCAGUGGAUCUCUCUGGGCAGGAAAGAAGAUAAAGGGCUUCCUUUUUCAAACUGAGCCAUGUUUGAGGGAGGGGGAAGAGCAGGGAGUGGGAACCUUAGGGAUAAUACCAAUUUUUAAAAAUGGUGUUGAAAGAUGAAAACCUCCACUGGUCACUGAAAAGACAGCAGAGAUGGAGCCUGUCUAAUAUUUAACGGGGUGGAAUUCCAAAUCACUAAAGGGCUGAUUCCUAUGCCAUGUGGAAGGAACCUCCUGAUAAGAUACUGAGCAAAGCUUAGUCAGUGAUUGGCUGGGAAUAUAAUGGGUGACAUAAUAUCCAAAACUGCAUAGGGCUUUAGACAUCACCUGGAACUUAGCCAAGUAAAGUGUAAUUAUUUUUAUUUUUGAAAGGCGUGAGGAGUGGUGGCCCCCGCUUUGCAGAAUGCUUUCCCUAGGGAGACUCACCUGGUGCCUUCAUUGCAUAUCUUUAGGUACCAGGUGAAAAUGUUACUCUCCCAGGCCUUUGGCUACUUGCACCAUCUAUAGCCUUUUAAAUGGGGAUGGGUGGGUUAUUAUUUUUUUUGUUACUACAUUAUGUCUUUUUGUGUUUUUGUACUGUAAACUGCCCCAUGAUCCUCAGAUGAUGGCAAUUAUAUACAUUUAAUAAAUGAUAAUGAUACAAAUCAUCACACUAGUAAUCCAAAUGGGACAUUACGAGAGCAUGGAUGGCUGAUGAAAACUUCCCUCUCUCCAGCUCACCACUUCCACUGUUCUUCCUUUCCUUCUUGGAUGAACAUCUGGUCACUUUUGAGAGUAAUUGAUGCCUUGUGGGGUGAAACAUGGUUCUCUGUUUCUGUGGAAUGCCAGUCUGACAGAGUCAUUAGUUGGGAGUGAGUCUGGAGGAAGAUAUGUGUAUUCACUCAUAACCAAUGAGAAAUGCAUUUAAUAAAUCUGCAAAGUAGGCCACUGUUGUUAUGGUAGUUUACGAAAACAAAACCCGGCUUCCUUAUUCUGGUGUUCAGCGCUUUUGAAAGGAGAAGGGAAGAUAAAAUAAACAAAUGAACCUAACCUUUAAAAAAAAAUAAUUGAGGCGCUCUAGCCACCACACUUUGAAAAAUCUAUGCCUUUUCACAGAAACGCAGCUCUGUAAGGGGAAUAGAGGUUUCCUCCCAGCACCCUUAACAAACUACAGUCCUCAGUAUAUUUUCAAGUACAGGUAGUGGGGGUUAUGUUCUGAGACACUUCACAAGUUGGUGAAAUCACGUAUAAUUGAAAUCCUUUGGAAAAGUCUUCAAGCACACCCACACCCCACCCUGGUUCCUCCUUUUAGUCAUGUUUAGUUAUGUUUAGUUAUGUUUCAGUGACAUCUUUAUGACUUCUGGGUUCAGCACAAUAGUGCGCAUAUUGUGCACAUACUGAAUGUGCACAUACACGGUUGUGCAUAUAUUGAAUGUGCAUAAACUGGAGUCUGCCUGUGGUUUGAUGUUGCUUUAAAUGUAUAAUUCAGAGUGGCUAUUUGUUGGAUAUUUGUUGCACAAUUCACUGAACCAAAGUUAUGCAGCGCUCCAGUUUGGGGUUAUUACGCUUCACACAUCCAUUAGCAUCAACACAAUUAGUUCUUCACAAUGUAAUGUUGAUUAUUAUUGCGACUUGGAUUUUGUGUGCAAUGUUGUGCUCCUGCCUUUGCUUUUAAUGCUGCCUCUUUAUUGUUAUCUAGCUUGCACACUCAUAAGAGGAAAGGCAGAUUAUGAGAAAUUAAAAAUAAUAAGUGGUAAUAAAUUAAAGUCACUUAGCAGUAUACUUGUUCCUCUGAAGGCGGGGGGAAUGUUUUGUGCCAGUGGGAAAUUGUUGCACAAGAGAAUGCACAAACAGGUUGCUGGUAACUUAGUUGCACAAUAGAGCUUACCCUCCUGUUUUGAUUUUUGUAUUUUGUAUUUGCUGUUAGUCUUGGCUCUGCUUUCAGGAAGAGGAAACUAUAAGCUAACAGCAAUAACAAUACUCUUCCCUCUGUGGCACAUAUUACGGCCAAUUAGCUGUUUGCAGGAUUGUGUGUUUGUUAAGAACAAUCUGUCUUGUAUUUUGUUUUGGGUUUUUUGUAUACAAUGAAUGAAGUCUGAAAUGUUUAAACCACAUGCACACACACACCCCUUUGCGCACGCACAGGGAAUACAAUGCCGGGCCUUCUGAGCAUGGGCAAAUUGCUUGGUGUCUUGACCCUUGCUCCCCCAUCAAUAUAUUUUCAAAGCAUUCUCUUGUAUUUGUCUGUGUGUGCCCCUCCUUCCUCAAAGAGCAACCAUCCCUCUCUAGGAUAAAGGGUUAAUAUUAUGCUUAUGUUACAGUGCAUUAAAAACUCUAAUUAAAACAGUAUUACAUUCCCAUCUGCCAAUCUCCAGUAAUCUUCUUUAAUUGCAGUAAUUAAACUAUAUUUACAUGUUCAGAAUACUUGUAAUUUAGCAAAUUGCGCACUCUGCUCUCCAUUUAAUCAAACAACCAGUUCCAGUAUAUUUAGUGUGGAAAGAAGUAAUUUCAGUGUUUUGAUUACUAUAGCAGAUUUGACAGAGUAAGUACCCCUCUAGUCGAGGCUUUGAAAAGGAAGGCAAACAUGAAAUAUAGGCAUGGUUUGAUUGCCACGUGAACACCUAAUUGCAUGUUGAGGAUUUACUAUUAGGGGUGCAAACCGUUUCUCACUUGAUCUUUCUUUCAGGCACAGCUGACAUAACAGAUAAUGGAAGAUAUCUAUUUGGGGACUGCCUGACGAAAUACACACAAUUUUUGCAUUAGGCAUCUUAAAAAAAACCACCACAGUGGAAACAUAAAAUCUGUAGGUGAACUGGGGCACCAUAAGCAGAAUCCAUUGUUCUGCGGGGAGAAAAGGAAAGAAAGAAAGAAUAUUUCUAAUUAUCCUGAUUGAUAUCAUGUUUCUCCCCCCCCAAAAAAACACAUUUUGAAAAGCAUUUCCUUCCCAUCUUACCCAUCCACAC
rnacentral:lncRNA from 1 species